UGGGGAAUUUUGGACAAUGGGCGCAAGCCUGAUCCAGCAAUGCCGCGUGCAGGAUGAAGGCCUUCGGGUUGUAAACUGCUUUUGUACGGAACGAAACGGCGAGCUCUAAUACAGUUUGCUAAUGACGGUACCGUAAGAAUAAGCACCGGCUAACUACGUGCCAGCAGCCGCGGUAAUACGUAGGGUGCAAGCGUUAAUCGGAAUUACUGGGCGUAAAGCGUGCGCAGGCGGUCAUGUAAGACAGAUGUGAAAUCCCCGGGCGUAACCUGGGAACUGCAUUUGUGACUGCAUAGCUAGAGUACGGUAGAGGGGGAUGGAAUUCCGCGUGUAGCAGUGAAAUGCGUAGAUAUGCGGAGGAACACCGAUGGCGAAGGCAAUCCCCUGGACCUGUACUGACGCUCAUGCACGAAAGCGUGGGGAGCAAACA
rnacentral:rRNA from 1 species